rnacentral:lncRNA from 1 species
GGGGCCCGCGCCCGCCAUGUUUCCCGGCAGCGCUCCGUGCCCGCCGCCCGCCUGAGCCUCCCGGGGCCGGCCCGGCCCGGCCCGGGGCCGCCCGCCCUGCUCGGCCGCCGGGACUCCAUCGACAGCAGCUGCCCAAGGUUUGUCCGUGUGGCAGCGGGGCCAGCCGCGACCGCCGAGGGAUCCUCCGCUGCGAGUGCCCGAGGAGAGGCCGGUUCGGGCCCGGAGGGUCCCGGGGUGGCGAUGGGAGCGCUGGUCUGAGCUCCGCCGGGCACCCCCGGGUGCGGAGCCGAAACCGCAUUCCCCAGCUGAGGAUAAACCAGAGGUGAUCCGGUUCCGUCCCACGGGAGCGCUCCUGACAGGCUCGGUGCCUCGGAGGGGCGAGGAUGGCUCAGGAGACGAACCAGACACAGGUGCCUCUGCUGUGUACCACGGGCUGCGGGUUCUAUGGCAGCCCCCGGACCAACGGCAUGUGCUCCGUGUGCUACAAGGAGUUCUUGCAGAGGCAGCAGAGCAGUGACCGGAUAAGCCCUCCAGCACCCAGCGGUCCCAGCAGCAGCCCCAUGGCUUCCGAGGCCAUCGCAGGACAGUGCGCGGAGGGAGACUCCACACCUGAGGAUGCAAAAGCCAGCGCUCAGACUCCUGUGACCCAUCAGAUGACGGCCAUGAGCAUAUCCAGAGAGGAAACCAGCAAUGAAACAGAGGAAUUCAGCAAGACAGAUGAAGCCUCAUCAGCUUCUUCCUCAUCAGGUACCCUGCUUGAGAUAUCCCAGAACACGGCUGAGGGCAAGACGGCUUCGGAAAAACCGAAACCGAAGAAGAAUCGCUGCUUCACCUGCCGGAAGAAGAUUGGACUGACUGGCUUCGACUGCCGCUGCGGGAACCUGUUCUGUGCCAUUCACCGGUACUCCGACAUGCACGCCUGCCCCUACGACUACAAGGCAGAAGCUGCCGAGAAGAUCCGCAAGGAAAACCCCAUCGUUAUCGCCGAGAAGAUCCAGAAGUUGUGAAGGGGUCCGAGCAGCUCGAACUGCAGCCAGCCCGCCUGGUGCUCCUCCCCUUCCUCCCGGCCUUCCUCCUCCUCCUCCCAGCCCCUGCGCGGUGCGAGGGUGGCUCCAGCAGCGCACCUGGACACGGGGACUCCUCGCACCUCUGGUGUUCCUCCUCUCCCUCCCUGCCUGUCCGACAGCCACAGCUCAGCUGAUGUGUUCUCAACCAGCUUCCCAGAGGAAAAGGGACCGUCCUGCCCCGCUGCUGUGGCACUAAGACCUUGGCACUUGCCUUUUGGUGGGCAGUUUGCGUGGUGUGAGCAGCCGGGCUCUGCCGGGCAGCCUUUCCCUUCCUGGUGACUCAAGUCCUGCAAACCACCCAGGACUUGUGGCCACAGUCCCCGAGCAGCUGCUGGACUCGUUCCCUCUGCCUGCAGUCCCGGGAGCUGGGGGAUCCUGGCAGCCAGGCUGCCGUCUGCUCCCCGGGAGGUGUUUGCUCUCAGAUGCACAAAAGUUGAUUCUGUAGUUCAGCACCCCAGACCCCUCUCCCCACCCUCUGCUGACGCUGUUGGAGAAGCACCACGGGGGUUGAGCAGUGAUGCUGGCACAGGGAGGUUAUUUUGUGGCUUGAAGUGAGGUGGGCAGGACCUUCCAGGAGGUUCUGCUUGCUGCCUUGUGCCUCUCUCCACAGGGAGGCCCCCUGCUCCAGCCUCCUGCUUCAGCACCCCUGGAUAACCCCGGCUGCUUUCCCAGCAAGGUGUGUGUCCCUCAGCACUGCCUGUGCCUGCUCUCCUCUCUCCCCUCUUUCCUCUCCCCUUUCUCCUCUCCCUUCUCUCCUCUCUCCCUGCCUUCUGCCUUACACGAGUUGCUCUCAUCAGGGUUGUGCACAAAGCUCAGGUCCCCACGCCUCUGCUUCUGGACCUGUCCCUGCACCCAGGUGACAGUGGGGUCCCCUCCUGCCAUGUGGGCCAUGCUGGUACUGGGGAGAGCUCGGGGAGCCCACCCAGCUGCCCUCCUCUGCCUCCUCCCUCCCUGUGGGAUGAGAGGCAGGGCCAGGUCCCCAGGAGAUGCUCUGCAAGCCAGACAGAGGGAACUGGGGCACAGGGAAAGUCACCAGGAGGGUCCUGGGGCGCCCAGAAGUCCAGGUGGGGGCUCAAAAACACCCAUGGAGAAACCCAGGGAGCAGGGAGAGGUGCCUGGAGGGCUCUGGGCUCACUGAGACUCAAUUCCCUGAGGUGCUGGAAGGCCCAGGGAGGGCUCUGGGGUGCAAGGAAAGGCAGAAGGAGAACUUUGGGGUACAGUGAACAUGCUCAGAGGCCUCAAGCACCCUAAGAGGCACGUGGAAGGCUCUGGGGCUGCUCUCACUCACACACAGGAAGGGAGGUGUGGGAAAAACCAAAUGCCACUCAGUACCACUCCAGAAAGAGCACCUGGAGGGCUCUGUUGGGAGGAGCUGGGGCUCAGGGAUGCAGCACAAGGCAGGCAGGGGCUCCUGGGGCACAGCCACAGCCUCCUCCAUGCCCAGGGGAUUCCUGGGAACAGCAGGAGUGAGGCUGUGCCCACGGAGCUCUGCCUUUCUCAAGCAGAGAAACCCAGAUGCGUCCCAGGGGACAAGCAGCAGCCUCUGUCCCACUCUGCUGGCCAUCCCACGCUUUGGAAACAUUUCCCUUGGUGUCAGCACAGCUGGGGAAACCUCAGCAGCUCCUUCCUUCCAAAGGCUGUUUUCCUGCCCUGCUUGUGGCAGUUCUGCCCAGGUGCUGGAGUGUUUGGUUUUUGCAGUGUGUGCUCUGUGGCAGCUGCCAUCCUGUGCUGCUGCUGGCAGCAUCUGAACCUCCCAAACUGCCACAGAGAGGAGCGAGGCUGCCUCUCAGCAGCCUUUUCCUCAGGAUUUUCCUUCUGGAUAACACUGACAUGUCUGGAGCAUGCAAGUGGCUGCACGUGUCAGCCCUGGACACACCUGGGCCAGCACGGAGCUGGUGGUGGCCAGGCUGGGUUUGCCUGAUCCCUCCCCCUCAGGGGAUGCAGGAAUUUGGCCCACCAGCCCCGAGGAAGUGCAGCAGCUCCCAUGGAUCCCUUGGGAAAGCCCACAGCCACCUGCUUCUCCAGCACCGCCCUUUUCCCUGUUCUCCCUCCCUGUCCAUGAGUGUAAAUACAACACAGUCUAGUUUGCUU